AUCUGCCUGAUGUGCCCCAAAUAGGACGAAACGCGCGUCCCGGAA
rnacentral:hammerhead_ribozyme from 1 species